CCGGGCCCGCGACGCUGCGGAAAAGUGGCCUCUGCGGCAGCGGCCGCGGCCGCUCCCCGGGGUCCCGGCGGCGGCGGCGGCGGCGGCGGCGGGGCUCGGACCCCGGACGCGGGCGACCAGGCCCAGCGCGGUGGGGACACAUCGAGGUUCCCGGCGGCGGCGGCUGCGAUCGGAAGCGGGUGACUUACAAGAUUAAAAUAAAAUUUGGUUGAUGAUGGUUCUGAACAAAUACAGCUCUUUUAUUUGAGAAACCAUUUUGAAGACUGAGACCGUGGAGUUUCAUAUCUGACAAUAAAGGAAAUCUUUGCAGAAGGCUGUAUUUUAUAUAGCAAAAAUGGGAAUCCUGAGACUGAAUCUCUAAAGGGCCUGUACAACGUAAUAGAUGUUGGUGGAAGCAUUUAUGGCUACAUAUUUCCAGCAUUCUCAGAUAUGUAGCUAAGAAUAGAGGCAUUUUUAUUGUCUAUUUGCAAUAUUCUAAGUAAAAUUAACAUCUAUUGGACUGGAAAACUAUGCUGUGAUUGAUCCACUGCUUUGUUUUCUUUUAUCCCCUAGGAUUCUUUUACAUAAUUAGUUUGGUUUUGUGUGUGUGUGUGUGUGUGUGUUUUGUCUUUUUUGAAGAAGAUUGGAAAGUUCUUCAUUGACAUUUAAAAUCCAUAGUAUUGCUGUAAUUUAGCUUUCUGGGAUUUUUGAAUUUGAAUUUUUGUCUUCUACAGAAACUAAAACAGUAUCACAUUUAACUAGUAAAAAUUUAACUCUUUACUGCUACUUU